rnacentral:rRNA from 1 species
UACGUAGGGCGCAAGCGUUGUCCGGAAUUAUUGGGCGUAAAGAGCUCGUAGGCGGUUUGUCGCGUCGGCUGUGAAAUCCUGGGGCUUAACUCCGGGCCUGCAGUCGGAUACGGGCAGACUUGAGUGGUGGUAGGGGAGACUGGAAUUCCUGGUGUAGCGGUGAAAUGCGCAGAUAUCAGGAGGAACACCGGUGGCGAAGGCGGGUCUCUGGGCCAUUACUGACGCUGAGGAGCGAAAGCGUGGGGAGCGAACAGG